UUUCCCGGCUGCCUCGGGGCGGCCCCGCCCAGCGCCGCGGCGGGACUGGCGGGCGGGCGGCGGCUGCGGCUGGGCGGGCGGAGGCGGGAGCGGAGCGCGCGCGGCCCGGCCCCCAACGAGCCGGCGUCGAAUUUGAUUUUAGCGCGCGGUCUGGAAGGGGCGGCAGCCCGCGCGCCGCGGCCUUCCCCGCUCUGCGGCCUCCAGGCCUUGGCGCUCUUGCGGGAAUGGGUCAGGGCCUGUGGUUCCAGGGCUCUCCCAGUGGAGCAGGGGCUAAGGGGUACGAAUGUCGGGGCGUAGGGGCCGACCAGUUGACCGCACGGGCGCAGUUUCAUCCUCGCGUCGCUCUGUUGGCUUUUAGAGGCGACCAGCCCCGUAGCUGAGCCAGGUUUCCCACCCAGUGAUGGACGAAGGGAAGAAACACCUUUGAGGGGUCGCCAUCCUCAGUCGGAGGGAUGACCCGCUUCUUCCUGGCCGGGCUUUAUACUCCUGGACACUCGCAAAAAAACCCCGUGGGGGCGCAGCCUCUACUGCUCCACGUGCGAUGCCUCCAUGGCCGGGCUCCUGCCUCUGCCGUAGGGUUCCUGACUGUUUGCCCCUGGCCCAUAAAGCCAUAACUGUGACUCAAGGACCGAGGGCAGACACUGAGGUUGACACCGAGGUAUGUGCCUUUUCUUCAGAGUCACUUGACCAGUUUGAUCACAUCAGCAGUGGAGAGCAAGACUCCCCAGCUGGAAGGCCGUGCGGACGGGGACCAUGGAAACUGUUGACACCACCGUGCAGUGCAAAAACCAACACGCUGUGCCUUUUGUUUCCAGGCAGCAGGACAAGACUCCUAGAAAAGAGUUGAGCCAAAAACUGGAUGGAGUCUGGAUCCCUAAAUAACUGCUCUUCUCUCCAUUGAACUUCAAUGCACCACAAAAUGAAGCCUGAGUGAGUGAGGGGUAGAUUGAUUGAAGGCAACAUUGCCUCAGGAGUAACAAAAGAACUUGUGAUGGAGUAUGUACCUUUCCCCUUGAAGUUAUCAACAUACCACCAAAACAAGAAGAGUAAUACAAUUAUCAUCUGUACUCCCACCAUCCCUUAUUAAUAACUAAUACUUAGUUAAUAAAUAAAAAUAAAUAUUUUAUU